AUGUGCUUGUGGGGCCUGGCUGAUCGAUGCAUCGUGCGUGCCUCACCUCCAUCUGCAGUUGGAGAGAGAGAUGGACUGGCGCCUAUGACGCACUGGUCGACGCCGCGGCCGCUGCCGUCAGCGAGCCCGGGUGCAUGGUGGCGCUCAUGGACCUCAACCGCUGCCUCCACGCCUUCAGCGUCUCCUGUGACCGAGCCGAGGGCCUCGUCCAGGCGGCCGCCGGCGGCCUCGGCCCCGCCGCCUCCCGCCACGACGAGCUAUGCCAUGCCGUGCGCGCGGUUGAAAAGGAUCUCUGGGCCGCCACCGCCGGCCGGGAGGAGAACGAGAUGGAAGAGGAGAAGAAUCACCCUCCGACCACGCCGCUGGCGGCCGAGGACAAAUAGCCCAAUCGAUCUACCUCGUAUUUUGUUGAGAUGA
rnacentral:rRNA from 1 species